UCACUGUGAACACCGAGUGCUGCACACUAGGGCUAAUGUUAGCUACUUAAGCUAAAUUGCACUAACAGGGCAGGUAUCAUAAUCAAGUAACAUUCAACUCAGUGAAAUAUUACGACAAUAGUCCGACUCAGUGCGAGUCCUGGAGCUGAGGAGAGCAGCAGUCACGUUUCUGAACCUGCUGCAAACGUCGUUGCUGGUUUACAUGGACAGGAGCAGCACCCAGCUGGUUCGGCCUGUAUGGACUCUGUGCUGUGCAGCAGGGAAUCAAUGAGAGAGACGAGGAGGACGGCAGUAAAGAGUUCUGGCUGAUGUCUGCCGUCAAACUCAAACAAGCUUUAGUGGCGUUUUUCCUGACUGGCCUCAUUAACAAGACCUGGACCCCCUCUGAAAUGGACUCUGUCCCACCUAUGGACACAUUAUACAUUAUACAUACUGUAUGUUAUAAAUAUAUAUGUUAUAUUACUGUAAAGAACCCAUCACACCCAACAAUGGUGCUUUUAUAUGAUUGCAAUUAUUUGUAUUAUUACAUUUGCACA